GAUGAAGAACGUAGCGAAAUGCGAUAAGUAAUGUGAAUUGCAGAAUUCAGUGAAUCAUCGAAUCUUUGAACGCACAUUGCGCCCUAUAGUAUUCUGUAGGGCAUGCCUGUUCGAGCGUUAUUGAGACCUCAAGCUCUGCUUGGAAAUGGGCGCUUGUCUUGCCUUGCAGACUCGCCUUAAAACCAUUGGCAGCUGAUUUACAAUGUUUGGUGCACAGUACAUGAGCCCAAGUGUUGCAAUGAGUGGCCCAAAAGUAUACAAUAGAAGCUUAACCUCGGAUCAGGUAGGGAUACCCGCUGAACUUAAGCAUAUCAAUAAGCGGAGGA
rnacentral:misc_RNA from 1 species